AUAAAAAUGGUGCUCUAUAGGAGAAAGCCCUGCCUCCAGCUGUUUGCUUAGAAAUUCCAGGCACAAUUUGGAGGCCUGUGUCUUGUGACUGUAGCGUACGUGUAGAUAAGAUCUAAACCAGGCCAGAACUUGUCCGUGUAGACCAAUUUGGGUUUCCAAUCUCUCCAAAAGAAUGUGGUGAUCGAUGGUAUCAAAAGCAGCACUAAGAUCUAGGAGCACGAGGACAUAUAAAGAGCCUCGGUCUGAUGCCAUUAAAAGGUCCUGGCAGAGUUGUGCAGACUCAGGACAACGGAGCUUUGGAGGAAUACGCAGAUUUAAAGAGCCAGACACGUUGCUGCUCGAGCAUCCAGAACAAAUUCCAGCCCUUACCUUACGUUGCUUUAAUUCAGUACACCCACCUCUGUCAAUGCAAUUUUCUUCAUGCCAUUUUAAUCCAAAUCUGCGCAGAGUUAUUUUCAGUGGCUCCCAGAAAUCUGAACCCAGUAAGCAAAAUGAUGUUUAAAAUAUGUAUUUUCUGAACGUUGAAAAUAUAUAUUUUACGGAUGUUUGAAAUCAGGUUAAUUUUCGGUUCUGAAUUAAUGCUGAAAAUACUUUCUCUACUUUUUUUUUACUGUAAAGUACUGCACUCUGCUGUGCUCUACUGCAGUGGUUCUCAAACCUCUACUCAGG
rnacentral:lncRNA from 1 species